GUGGGAGAAAGUGAGAGAUGGAGGGAGAGAGAGGGAGUGGGAGAUAUGGGGAGAGGAGGGAGGAGAGAGAGGGAGUGGGAGAGAGGGAGAGAUGGGGAGAGAGGGAGGGGGAGAGGGAGUGGGAGAGAGGGAGUGGGAGAGAGAGAGAGAUGGGGAGAGAGAGGGAGUAGGAGAAAAUGAGAGAUGGGGAGAGAGAGGGAGUGGGAGAAAGUGAGAGAUGGGGAGAGAGAGGGAGUGGGAGAAAAGGAGAGAUGGGGAGAGAGAGGGAGUGGGAGAAAAUGAGAGAUGGGGAGAGAGAGGGAGUGGGAGAAAGUGAGAGAUGGGGAGAGAGAGGGAGGGGAGAAAGGAAGAAGAUGACAAAGGAAAGAGAUGGAUGUUUUCCACUUUCAGACUUAACACCCUUCUGAUUGUUGCUUUCCUAAUCUCAUGGAGUGAAGAAGUGUGUGUGUGUGUGUGUGUGUGUGUGUGUG
ensembl:lncRNA